AUUGAACGCUGGCGGCAGGCCUAACACAUGCAAGUCGAACGAGUGGCGGACGGGUGAGUAAUGUCUGGGAAACUGCCCGAUGGCGGGGGAUCACUACUGGAAACGGUAGCUAAUACCGCAUACCAUCGGAUGUGCCCAGAUGGGAAUAGCUAGUAGGUGGGGGAACGGCUCACCUAGGCGACGCUCCCUAGCUGGUCUGAGAGGAUGACCAGCCACACUGGAACUGAGACACGGUCCAGACGCCUACGGGAGGCAGCAGGGGGGAAGAUUGGACAAUGGGCGCAAGCCUGAUGCAGCCAUGCCGCGUGUAUGAAGAAGGCUGUCGGGUUGGAAAGUACUUUCAGCGAGGAGGCGUUACUCGCAGAAGAAGCACCGGCUAACUCCGUGCCAGCAGCCGCGGUAAUUC
rnacentral:rRNA from 1 species